rnacentral:rRNA from 1 species
CACACUGGCACUGAGACACGGGCCAGACUCCUACGGGAGGCAGCAGUGAGGAAUUUUGCGCAAUGGGGGCAACCCUGACGCAGCAACGCCGCGUGUGGGAAGAAGGCUUUCGGGUUGUAAACCACUUUUGCCCGGGACGAAAAGGGAUGUCAGAACACGGCAUUUCGAUGACGGUACCGGGAGAAUAAGCCACGGCUAACUCUGUGCCAGCCGCCGCAGUAAUAC